AUGAACGCUAGCUACAGGCUUAACACAUGCAAGUCGAGGGGCAUCAUGGUCUUAGCUUGCUAAGGCCGAUGGCGACCGGCGCACGGGUGAGUAACACGUAUCCAACCUGCCGUCUACUCUUGGACAGCCUUCUGAAAGGAAGAUUAAUACAAGAUGGCAUCAUGAGUCCGCAUGUUCACAUGAUUAAAGGUAUUCCGGUAGACGAUGGGGAUGCGUUCCAUUAGAUAGUAGGCGGGGUAACGGCCCACCUAGUCUUCGAUGGAUAGGGGUUCUGAGAGGAAGGUCCCCCACAUUGGAACUGAGACACGGUCCAAACUCCUACGGGAGGCAGCAGUGAGGAAUAUUGGUCAAUGGGCGAGAGCCUGAACCAGCCAAGUAGCGUGAAGGAUGACUGCCCUAUGGGUUGUAAACUUCUUUUAUAAAGGAAUAAAGUCGGGUAUGGAUACCCGUUUGCAUGUACUUUAUGAAUAAGGAUCGGCUAACUCCGUGCCAGCAGCCGCGGUAAUACGGAGGAUCCGAGCGUUAUCCGGAUUUAUUGGGUUUAAAGGGAGCGUAGAUGGAUGUUUAAGUCAGUUGUGAAAGUUUGCGGCUCAACCGUAAAAUUGCAGUUGAUACUGGAUAUCUUGAGUGCAGUUGAGGCAGGCGGAAUUCGUGGUGUAGCGGUGAAAUGCUUAGAUAUCACGAAGAACUCCGAUUGCGAAGGCAGCCUGCUAAGCUGCAACUGACAUUGAGGCUCGAAAGUGUGGGUAUCAAACAGGAUUAGAUACCCUGGUAGUCCACACGGUAAACGAUGAAUACUCGCUGUUUGCGAUAUACUGCAAGCGGCCAAGCGAAAGCGUUAAGCAUUCCACCUGGGGAGUACGCCGGCAACGGUGAAACUCAAAGGAAUUGACGGGGGCCCGCACAAGCGGAGGAACAUGUGGUUUAAUUCGAUGAUACGCGAGGAACCUUACCCGGGCUUAAAUUGCAGAUGAAUUACGGUGAAAGCCGUAAGCCGCAAGGCAUCUGUGAAGGUGCUGCAUGGUUGUCGUCAGCUCGUGCCGUGAGGUGUCGGCUUAAGUGCCAUAACGAGCGCAACCCUUGUUGUCAGUUACUAACAGGUUCCGCUGAGGACUCUGACAAGACUGCCAUCGUAAGAUGUGAGGAAGGUGGGGAUGACGUCAAAUCAGCACGGCCCUUACGUCCGGGGCUACACACGUGUUACAAUGGGGGGUACAGAGGGCCGCUACCACGCGAGUGGAUGCCAAUCCCCAAAACCUCUCUCAGUUCGGACUGGAGUCUGCAACCCGACUCCACGAAGCUGGAUUCGCUAGUAAUCGCGCAUCAGCCACGGCGCGGUGAAUACGUUCCCGGGCCUUGUACACACCGCCCGUCAAGCCAUGGGAGCCGGGGGUACCUGAAGUGCGUAACCGCGAGGAGCGCCCUAGGG
rnacentral:rRNA from 1 species